rnacentral:siRNA from 1 species
AGAGACGACUCAAUAUGACGGUGU